rnacentral:rRNA from 1 species
AGCGAACGCUGGCGGCAGGCCUAACACAUGCAAGUCGAACGAACCCUUCGGGGUUAGUGGCGGACGGGUGAGUAACACGUGGGAACGUGCCUUUAGGUUCGGAAUAACUCAGGGAAACUUGUGCUAAUACCGAAUGUGCCCUUCGGGGGAAAGAUUUAUCGCCUUUAGAGCGGCCCGCGUCUGAUUAGCUAGUUGGUGAGGUAAUGGCUCACCAAGGCUACGAUCAGUAGCUGGUCUGAGAGGAUGACCAGCCACAUUGGGACUGGAGACACGGCCCAAACUCCUACGGGAGGUAGCAGUGGGGAAUCUUGCGCAAUGGGCGAAAGCCUGACGCAGCCAUGCCGCGUGGAUGAUGAAGGUCUUAGGAUUGUAAAAUCCUUUCACCGGUGAAGAUAAUGACUGUAGCCGGAGAAGAAGCCCCGGCUAACUUCGUGCCAGCCGCCGCAGUAAAAC